GCGGGUGUGGUGGUAUUGGCAGUACACAAGAGACUUAAAAUCUCUCGAACCUUUGGUGGUUCUACGAGUUCGAAUCUCGUCACCCGCACCA
rnacentral:tRNA from 1 species